CGUGGGGCCCUUUCGUCCCCGGCGUCCGGCGGGUCCGCACCAGCCCCCCACCCCUGCCACGGCCCGGCGGUGACGGCCGGAGUCGAAAGACCGAAACCGACCCCCGGGUGGUGACCGGGUCCCCGCUCUGUUGGUCGUUUCUGGGAAGUGCUAGAAACAAGGCAUGAAAGGAAUGGCGUCCAUUUACAUAAUGCUUUGUUUGCAUUUUGCAAGUUUCUUUCGGUUAAACCAGCAUAAACCCCGCCCCCUGCUCUUGCAUCGUUUUAAUCGUCGUAGCUUCGUCAAACAUUUAAGACAAUGGUGUUCCCCUGUAAAGUCUUCAUUUAUUCAGGGGGUACAACGUGUGCUUUGGGUAGUCCCUGCGGUUGUUCCCGCACGGUUUACGGCCCCCACUGCUGCGUUUCGGUUUUUUUCCCUUUGGUGCAGUCACCGCGCCCCGCUGUCCCCGGGGGCGGCCCCCGAUGGAGCCCCGCCAUCUUGAAAAGCUUUUCCUAUGGAGUGUUUCUACCGCACGUUUGUCUCGCUAAGAAAAUGUCGUUCGGGGCGCUGGUAUACGAGUUGUGAUCUCUGCCCUUUCCCCUUCGACUUAGCUACACCAGAACAGACUCGGGCGCAACGUGCUUAAGGAUUUCGCUGGGAAAGCGGCUAACGUGGCGGUGCUCCCGCCCCGCUUUUCUUCUUCCCCACGGGGGUGGCCGCCAUGUUUUCUGAACACAAAAUGGCGACACGUGGCCUGGAUUCGUCGCCAACUGGAGACCCGAAAACUCUAGAAUGUCCUCGCUUCCGUGGCCCGGGGCCUUCCCCGAAUAGAGAGUCCUCUGAACCCUCGGACAUUAAAACCCCCACGCUGAUCCGGAGCUCUGUGGGCGAAUUUUAAUGCUUUUCCCCCAUUCAUUUGAAAGGGAACACAAAUAACUGAAAAGUGUAGGAACGUUACUGAUUUUUUAAAAAUUUUAACGAUUGGUAGUGGGGGGCAGGAAUUUGGGGCCCCCAGUUUUAGGAACUACUGCCUUAAUGAACGAGGUGGGAAAUCACUGUUUUCUUACAUUUCCUAAUACGGGUUUCUCUGGGACCGAGGAAUGGUUUUAAAGUCUGUUUUCUGAAGAUUUAACCUCCAUGAAAGGGUGCCUGUGAUCUUUUUCACAGGCCAGCUGGUCAGUGAACUUCAGUUUACCAUACAAUUGAUGUUCACCUUUAGUCUACAAGGAGCAGAUGUUAAUUGUGCAUAUAUCAGAUCCUGGGUUAGACAUCUUAAUGCAUGUUUAAUUUUUACAAUAAUUCUCUGAGGUGGGUGUUCUCUCUCUCUCGCAUGAGACAUUUAGGCUCAAAGACAUGAAGUCACUAUUUCAAGGUCACACUGUGGGGGGAUGGAAUCCAGACCCGAUUUCCUUACUGGUCAAAUUCCUCAGACCUGUGUAAUUUUGUGGAUAUGUGAAUAAAUUCCACAUCACCCAUUUUACAGAUGAAGCCACUGAGAUGUGGAGCAUUGGACUCUGAAUAGUCACCGCCCCACCCCCGGAGCCUCAUACGUGACUCUUCUCUCGCUGAAGUGACGGAAGGUUGGUUAAGGGGUUUAACAAGGUUGAGAAGGUGAGUCAGGCUUAGACUUUGGAAAAGGAACCACAGAAUUUAUAAUCCUACAUUCAGAGGAAGAAUUUCUGCUUCCUGUUCCUUCCCAUUGGCCUGUUAUGGAAAACCUUUCGAAGUGAUUUCGCUUGUUUAAUCAUGACAAUUUUGUCAGGAAGGUGUAUUGUUCAGACUUGAUGGAAGAGCUAACUUUGAAUCAGAGGAGGGAAGUAACUUGCCCAAGGUUACACAGCUUGUUAGCACCUUAGCUGGGCCUCUUAUCCCUGCUUGUGGAUUGUUUCCUUGCUUUCUGAUGCUUAUGUCACUGCCUUUAUCGUAUGGAAUAACUUUACCUUCAACUCAAGAGAUUUUCAAGCUAGUCUGUUUUUCUGUCCCACAAUAUCCAACCCAGUUAGAUUAGGCUCCCGACUCUUGGUUUAAGAGAUUGUCUUCCCUCUUGCCUGGCCCAGCAAGUGUACUGCAGCCGUUUGAAUUUGUCCUACUAACUUGCAGCAUCUGCUUUUCAAAAACAUGGUUUCUUCCUUUCUCCUCCUUCAGAUUUCUCUUUUAUUUAAAACUGUAGUAAAUUGAGAGAUUUUUUUCCACAUUAUAUUCUAGGCUAGUACAAAGUGUAGCUUAGAAACAUGUCUUAGCCACUUUGUGGAUAGUAACAAUUUGACCCCCUUGUGCUGGUGAUCCUGUUCUACUAUUACAGGGUUGCUGCUUGGUUUUCUCAGAAGGAAAUUCUCAAUUCCCUGUGAUGCCUCUGACUAAAUAAGGCCUGGGGAAAGGAGUGUAGAGGAGUUAAAGGGGAAAAUGGAGAACAGAGUGCAAAUACAAAGGAUAGAAAGUGAGGAAGGAAGAAAAGGUAAGAAGAGGAAAGAGAAUAGGGUAGAGAGAAGAGGGAAAUACAGGAUCCAUGGAGGGGAGGUGAAGAGAUCAAUCCAGAGUUGUAUUAUUCUCUGCUAUGGUACGGAAUGGUUAUGGUAUGGAAAAGGUGCUGUGGUGGCCCAGUGAUUAAGCACUUGGCUAUUAACCGAAAGGCUGGCAGUUCAAACCUACUAGCCGCUCUAGGGGAGAAAGAUGUGGCAGUCUGCUUCUGUAAAGAUUCCAGCCUUGGAAACUCUGCGGGGCAGUUCUACUCUGUUUUAAGUGCUUGCUAUCAGUCAGAAUCGACUUGAUGACAGUGGGCUUGGUUUUGGUGUGGAAAGAUCCCUGAAUGGCGAAAACAGUUUGCUUUCGGCUACUAACUGAAAGGUUGCUGGUUCAAACCCACCCAGCAGUGCCUUGAAGGAAAGACAGACCUGGUGAUGUGCUUCUGUAAAUGUUACAGCCAAGAAAAGCACAUGGAGCGCAGUUCUGCUCUGUAACACAUGGGGCAGCCGAGAGUCGGAAUCGACUUGACAGCAGAGGGUUUAGAUGUUUUUGUUUAUAGUAUGAAUAGGCUACUGUCUCCUACCAAGGAAGAGCAGCUGGUAUGAUAACUCUUCAUGAGGUGAUCUUGAGCAGCACUUGCUUGCCUUUUUGAUUGUCUAUUUCUAGUAUCAGGUAGGGGAAAUUUUUUUUGAUUCUCCUAUCAGUUGAGGAUAUGAUUAACCCACUGCCACUACUGUCGAGUCGAUUCCGACUCAUAGCAACCCUAUAGGACAGAGUAAAACUGCCCCAUAGAGUUUCCAAGGAGCGCCAGUAAUUUUAAUAUUAGUCUCAGCUCAGUUGGUUUAUAAAGGAAAUUGUGUUACAAAAUUGCAGAAGGUGUUCCUAGUACAAUUUCUUUUUAUUCAUUCAUUUGAAAAAUAAUCAUUGAUUAUUUAUAUGAACCAGACACAGAUGAAUGGGAUUCUGUCCUUGCUCUCAAGAUGUUUAUGGUCUAGAGAGGGAGACAGGCAGGUAAACAGAUACCCACAAUGUGUUAAGUGUUGGGAUAUGAGUAAAAAGAGGGUGUUAUGGGAACACAGAGGCAGGGCCCUUGAUUCAGCCUAGGAGGGGGCUGGGGAAGGCUACCUAGAGAAGUUGACAUCCAGGCUGAGUCUCAGUCUGGCAGUUGCAGGGAAGGGUAUUUCAGGCAGAGGGAGCAUCUUUGCAAAGACCCAAAGGCAGAGAGCACAGUCCCUUUGGAAGUUGUAACUAUUUCAGGAAGGCACGAAAGAUGCUUGAAUUAUCCAAUUUUUGGUGAUUAUUGUUCUGCCACCUCAGUAGUGUGGAUUAUUGAGACUUGAUUAUGUUUACCAGGGCAUAGAAAGUUAAAAGUCCUCGUUUUGUAGCCAUAAAAAGUCCUCAGUCUGUAGCACAAAGUAUUCUCUUUUUAAGACGAAGGCACCAGAAUUUGCACCUCCUAUCUAGAGACUCUAAGGAGAGAAUGGAAAGGAGGCAUAGUCUCUGAAGUAGCAAAGGCUGUGGUUGGCAACGCUCUGUCCAGUAGAAGAAAGAAGGUGCAAUGCACAGCAUAUCCCUUUCUUACCCAUGUUGUGGACUGGAUCGUGUUUUGCUUUGUUUUUAAAAAGGAGAGUGGACGUUUAGGGUCUUUGUCGAGCUAGUUAGGAUGUUUGGGUUAAGCAGGAGGAAAAGGAGUUCAGUAAUUGCUACUUUAUGGCAGAACAAAAGAAAUGGCAUAUAAACAGCUCAGUGCUCCGAUCCCACCUGCUGAGCGUCAGCGGACAUCGUCAGGGACUCUGUUUCAGAGAGACAGCUGCUUCAGCCGGACGGAGCAUUCGUUCCACAUCAUUCACUCUGUGAAAGCUGCCGUGUCCAGAUGAAGAGCAUUGUGUUUUGGUUUUUGAUUUUUUGAGACACAGAUAUAGCUGCAUUAAACAAAAACGUGAUGUGUAUUCACUGGACAAUACUGAGGUUAUAGGGGGAUUAAAAGAAAAAAAGUAGUAUGAGUGGGUUAGGAAAGAACAUGUUUAGAAAAUAGCACAUAGAUUCAGUGGCCAUUUCUUAGUCUUCUUACUUGACUUCGCAGUAGCGUUUGAUGCUCCCUCCCUGGACCCUAGCUUUACUUGGGCCACUUCCUUAGUUCUCCUCCUACCUCCCUGGCCCCUCCUCCUCAGUCUUUUUUUUUUUUUUUUUUGCCGAUUCCCCCUAUCUCCGCAGCCUCCAGUGAUGGAAUUCUCAGAUCAGUCCUCGGACCUUUUCUCAGAAUACAUUAUUCCUAGGUGCUCUCUUUGAAGACUUCAAAUACCAUUUACAUCCUGACAGUUUUCAACUUUGUAUUUCCAGCUUGGAUGUCCUGCCUUAACUCAAGACUUCCAUAUCCAGCUGCCUACUGGAAACCUCCACUUGGUCAUCGCAUAGCUUCUCGAACUUAGCAUGUUCAAAAGCUUAACCCUUUGGUGACCCAAUUAUUUUCUGAUUUGAUUUUUUGUUGAUACCGUGUGUUUUCAUUAAUGGAAGCAUGCUGUAUCCUUGCGUGUGUCUGAAUUUUUUUUUAGUGUGGAUUUUUUUUUUCUUGCCCACUCCCAAAAGCCUAUCCUAAGUAUUUAGUGGUACAUUUUUUUUUUUUUAUAGAGUACCACUAAUUGUACACCAGCAUCCCCACCGGGAUCUAUUGCUGCAUAUAUGUAACAAGUAAAAAUUUGCAAAAUUUCUGUUUUUUCUAGCAAAACUCAGACACCUCAUACAAUACCCUGUACAGACAGUAACUGCGGCACACUCCUGAUUCUUCGGUUUCAAUCAUAAAUGUCCUUGCCUUGUGGCAGCGUGCACUAUCAGUGGUACAGCAGUUUCCCAGUGAACACCAGAGGCUGGAAAAGUUCAUAGUCACUGUAUGUACCACAAGACAUGAAAGGGUUAACGGUAGAGCUUUUCCUUUCAAAACUGCAUUUUUGAUUGUUCCUCACCUUUUCAGUUCCAGUUGUAUUCAAUGUGUGGUAGAGAGGAGUUUGCCUUGAUUCUGUUCUUUCUCUUUCCUUCCUCACCCUACGCACGACUAGGUCUUGCCAGCUUUAAAAAACGUGUGUAGGAUUUGAAUACUUCUUGUUACCUUCUUUGCUACUAUUGGAAAAAAAAUUGGAAUAGCGUCUAAAUGGUUUUCCUCCUUUUUUUCUUGGUCCACUUAACAGAGUGGCUAGAGUGAUCUUUUAAGUGUGUGUCAGCUCAUGCCACUCCUCUGCUGAAGACUGUUAACUGGGUACCCAUCCCACCCAGAUUAAAAGCUGAAGUCCUACAGUCAUAGGCAAAGCCUUACAGGAUCUGCAACACCACCUCUCUCUCAGCCGCUCUGGCGUUGCUCCUUCCACUUUCCCCUGGCGUGCUAGCCACACGGGUCUCCUGGCAGUUGCUCCAUCUUGCCAGGCCUUGGGGCCUUGCAGGUACUUCCUCUGCCUGGAACCUUGUUCUUCCGGAUGUCAGUAUGGCCUCCUCUCUCUCCUCCUCCGGGUUUCUGCUCACCUGUCACCUAAUCAGUGAAGCAUUCCUUGACCAUCCUGUUUAAAGUAAAAGCCAUCAUCCUGCCUUGCCAUCCGUAACCCCUUCCCCUGCUUUAUUUUCCUCUGCAUUUGGUGCUGCUUAAUGUACUCCUCCCUUCCUUCUCUUACCUUAUCUUUUCUUUCUUUCCUCCUUUUCAGCAGCUAUGGCUGUUACCUGCUAUGUACUAGGCAUAGUUCCAGGGGCUCUCUAGUUUAUUAUUUCCCAUGCUUGUUAGAAUAUAAAUUUUACAAUGUUUAGGACUUUGUUUUUCUUAUUGCUAUACUUCUACCUCCUAGAACUGUGCUUAGCACAUAGGAGUUAAAAGAAUAAAUUUAUUAACUUUUCAAACAAAAAUAUAUUGAAUAUGUAGAGGGUGGCGUACCAGGUUAAUGAGGAAAAGAUCUGUAUAAGUUAGACAUUGUUCUUGCUCUCAGGUUGCUCAGUCUAAAAAGUGCUAAUUUUGAUCUAAACAGUGCUGUGUUCUCCAGCAGGUUAAAGUGAUACAUCGUUUUGGAAUUGGGGAGGGGAAGACGGGUGUGCAGGGGUGUGGAUUUCAUCAGAGAUGAAGUCCUGCUUGGCCAGACUUACCAAUAAUUUGCACUGUUCCUGAGAGGGCAGGGUUGAUGAGAGCUCACUGCAUUACUGGCUUUUUAGGCUGCAGCUCCUUUUUGGCUUUGCCUUGUUAGGGCAGUUAGGGCUUUUUAAUGAGUUUCUUAAAAAUCCCAUUAUCAGUCUUGGUUCCUUUUAGGUACCUUCUAGGCACCUGUCACAUCUGCCUCCAUAUCUUAAGGAUAAGUGGAAGAGCUUAUCAACAUUACCUUCCUCUACAUCUGCAAGUUUUUUUCCAGUGACGUGACAAUCCACUUAAUAGCUGUGUGGCCUUGAACCUCAUUUUUUAUACUUUUCAAUGGAGGUGAUGACAAAUAACACCAAUUUUACUUCUUGUGAGGAUUAAAUGACUGACAUAGUCAUGUACCACAUAAUGUCUGUUCAAGCAGUGUUCUACCACAUGUGUGUCCGUGGUCUCAACCCCUGUAAAUCCUAAAAAUUUGAGGUACGUACAAGUGGUUUGUAAUAACAAACGGGCAUUACUUUGGAAGGUGCAUCAAAACAUUAUUAUUAUUACUAUCGUUAUGUUAAAGCUGCUUUAGUGUAUCUAAAAGUGUUUUUUUUAAUUUUUUAUGCAUAGAAGGGUAUACUGCAUACUAUAUACUAAGACAAACAUUUGACUGAUGGCAUUGGAUUUGAACUGUAUGUAACCGUUCUGAUUUAUGUACAAAUUCAACCUGAAGACAGAUGUAGGAAUGGCACUCGUUCAUAAUCCAGAGACUGCCUGUCUAUUCAUAUAAUAUGGUGUCAGCACAACGUCCAAAACACACAGUGUCCUAUUUCACAGAACAUAUCAUGGAUGUUAAGUAACACAUGACAGCAUAAUGUUGAUGAGAACAGGAGAGUGGAAAGAGGAAGGAGGGAAGAGGGCAGGCAAUUUCAUCUUUUUAGUAACUACUGUAUAUCUCUGCUUUGUUAUGGAAAAAAAACUUAGUGAGCUUGUGUUUUUUUCAUAAUAAGUGAUAACCCUUAGCCAUCGAGUUGAUUUCGACUCACAGUGAUCCUGAAGGACAGAAUAGAACUGCCCCCAUAGGGUUUCCAAGGAGCGGCUGGUGGAUUUGAACUGCUGACCUUUUGGUUAGCAGCUGAGUUCUGAACCACUGUACCACCAGGGCUCCGUAGUAGAAACAAAAAAAAAGAAGUAAUAGUUUAUUAUUAAAAACAAAAACCUUAGUAUAUUAUUCUUUAUAGAUUAGCAGGUUUACAAUGAAUAUUUCCUUCUUUCUCCACCCAAAUAAUUACCCCUGUAUUACACGAGGGAAUGAAAUUCUAGAACCCCACCCCAAGCUAUCCAUUGAACUGGUAUCCAGGUAGGAAAUAACCUUUUCCCUUUAGGUGAAAUUGGAUCUCAGGAGGUAGUAGUUAGGAGAGGCUCAGAGGGAUUGGUGAUGGCGAUGACGAUGAUGGCAGCAGUCGUAGUAAUAGCUAAUGUUGGUGGCUAGGCACUGUGCUAGCACUUUAUGUGGAUUAUCUUAUUUUAACAACAUAGCCGUAUGAGGUAGAAACUAUGAGAAGCAGACCAGUAUGGGGGUAAGGAGUGUAGACCCUGGGGUCAGACUGCCUGCAAUGACACCUCAGUUUUGCCAGUGACUGACCCUGUGACCUCAAACAAGGAAACUGUGCCCCGUUUUCCUCAUUUGUAAAAUGAGGGUAAUAAUAGUACCUGCCUCAUAAGGUGGUUGUGAUGAUGAAAGGAUAUAAGCCAUGUAAGAUGCUUGGCAUAGUGCUUGGUGCAUAGAAGGUGCUCAGUAUCAGUUGUUACAAUUAAAGUAGUUGUUAUUUUCAUUUAACAGUUGGAGAAACAAAGACUUAGAGAGAGGUAAAGUAAUUUUCCUCAGUCACACAGCAAAGAAAUUAUGGAACAGAGAUUUGAACCCAGGCAGCCAGACCCCAGAGCUCCUGUUAUGAGCCGUUAAACUGUACCUCCUUAGUGGGUUGAGGGGAACAGACAGGAUAAGAACUGCAUCUUGUCCAUCUUCAGAGUGUAGAUAUGAGGGUCGGCUUGGGUUCUGACUUACCUAAACUUCAUUUGUGAUCUUAAGCAUCUUACCGCCACAGCAUGUGCACUGAUCGUUCUUCGAAUUGACUUCUUGCCUAGAUCCAAGAAAGGAGGAGAAAUGAAUGAGUAAUGGGUUAAUAUAGUCUUCUGCUGAGGAACUGGGUGUUCCUGGGCCUGGGCUAGGAAAUGGAGCUCAAUAAACAUCUGUGCCCAUCCCAGUGCUCUUUGGCCCAGAAAUAGAGCUUAUCCAGUCUCUCUUGUCACUAUGCUUGUUUCUUGUCCUGUUCUUUUUUAAAAUUUUAUUUUGUUGUUGUUGAGGGUUGUUUUCUUUUCUCAAUAUACCUGGUAAUGAUGAGGAGCAGAGCAGUAUACACAUCGAAUACUUUUUCUGUGCAUUUUCAUGGAUUAUCUCAUUUAAUCCUUAAAAUAACCCUGCAAGGUAGUUACUCUUAUUCCUAUUUUAUAGAGGCAAAGAGAGGUUAGGAAACUUCCUUAAAGUCACACAGUUAAGUGGUAGAGUUGGAAUUUGAAUAAGGCAGUCUGGCUUCAGAGUCCAUGUUCCUAACCUUUACACUCUGCUGCUUUUAUUCUUCUCUUACUUGUGUAAAGCAGACAGUAUGGGCUGGGCGGUUUAGGAGGUAGUAGGACCAACCCUGUUUUUCCCAUUUGAAAAAUGGAAAGAUUUUUUUUUUUAGCUGUGAUUUAAGUGAACUUAUUAGUUUCUCAUCCAAAAAUUUAUACACACAUCAUUAUGUGACCCUAGUUGCUAUCCCGGUAAUGUGUUAGCACACUCCUGCUUUCCACCAGAAAUGGGAAGAUUGUGACCACUGGGCUAGGAAUAAGGCCUGUGUUCCUGUCUUGACCCUGUCACCAACUUGUCGUGUCUAAGAUUUCACUUUUCUCAUCCUUGGUGUCCUUAUCCAUUAAACAAGUGGGUUGCCCUGGAUGGUCUCUGAGAUCCCUUCUAACUGAUGUUCCAUGAUUGAUCACAUGACGUGAGAAGAGUAACACUUGCCCAGCUCCUUCACUUGGGGCCAGUGUAUUUUUGAGCUAUUAAGGAAACCUUCUUUGUGUGGGGAAAAUGCCCAGAUUCCAGGGCAGGACAUGAACUACCUCCUUGAAGAAGAUAGUUCUGGGUUCUUUUUUGAGGCUGGUUGCCAAGGAAACCUAGCCUCUGGCCAGCAACAGCCAGGAAUGCUUUGGUUGAGGAUUGGGUACAGAUAAUUUAAACAAGCAGUACGUUUAGGUUUCACUUCCCUUCUCUCCUCUCCCUUCGCCAGCUACCUCUUUUUCAGGUGCUUACUUUGAAGGCUUUCUAUGUGUUAGGUUUUGUUUUUGUUCUGAUUUUACAAAUACUGAAACUAAAGCUCUAAGAGUUAAGUAAUUGGCCACAUCUACUCAGGGAGGACUCUUUAGUUACUUAUGAAUGUUUUUUGUUUGUUUUGUUUUUGUUAGAAUGAUAGACUCUUGGAAAUGCAAAGAGACUUCGAAGUAAUUUAAUACAAUCUUCUUGUUUCCAGUCUGCCAUUCAAUUAAAGGAGUGCUUUCUCUUGCCCCUCAGAGAGAUGAUCACGUGGAAACAUGGUCUUGUCACUGUGGCAUUGUGGUUAGAGUGUGACUCUGGAUCCAGUCUGCCAGGGCCUAAAUUCUGACUCAUCACUUACUGUGCGACCUUGGGAAAGACAGGUGGCAGUGGGUGCUGGCACAGAUACAGAAGAUCCUGACCUCUGGGCUGGCAGAGGAGGACAGCUUGAGGCUGUCAGGUGAUGGAAUCAGAAGAGACAGGGCUGCUCUGUCAAGUGGUAUAAUUCAGGGGCACCAAGAGUAUGUCCUGCCCCUCAAAAACUUGCCCCAGCUAUUUGCUAUUGUUUGGAAUUCCACAAGUGAAAUUUCUUUUUCUUGACUUAGAAAUCUUUGAGACCCUGUUAAAAACGUAGAGACUUCAGAUUGUGAAGCAUCUCCUUCAUGGGAAUGGAAGUGGGAAUGAGUCUGUGAGAUUCAUUGCUGAGAAUGAGGGAUAGAGAGUAGGGGACACUGUGCUCCCAGCUGGAGGGACAGGAAGGAGAUACACUUGCCUUUGAGAUAAAGACCCUGAAAAGAGAAACGGGGUCCCUGAAGAAGAAAACACUUUGUUUUCUUCACAGUUUUCUAUGAGAAAAGACAAAGAGCUGAGGGUGCUGGGGUUGGAGGCUCCUGGCCUCCAGAGAGGGGGGUGCUGGGUGGAAAGGUUUCCCACCAGCGUGCUGGCUCCUUAGGCACAGUAUUGUGUGCAGAGCAGCUCACUGGCAGAACGUAAUGAGGAGUGCAGGUCUUUGGGGUCUGUGGUUUGCUGUGAUGUCCUCAGACAAGACUGUCACAGAUCUGAGGAAGGGGGAGGCACAGUUUCCCAGAAAUGAUGCAAAAUGAUGGUGCAAAAGAGGCCACUGAUGACAAUAAGGGCAGGAUACUUCCUCAGUGGCUGCUGGUCAGACAGCUUCUGGUCUCAAUUUUCCAGUGAGCUGUGCAGAGACAGGGCUGCACCGGAAAGCAAAAUAAGCCAUGUCAAAAGCAGUGACAAAGCACUUGGGGUGUCAGUCCAUGCAAAGGUACAGUAUCAUCCCCGUGCCCACUGACAUUAUGGAGCUGAAAUAGCUGAUCCAGAGGCUAUCCCUGUGACUCAGAUGUAAGAGUGUUCUGGCCUGAGUUCCUCCAAAAAGAGAGCUUUCCUAGUUGACUGGUCGUCAUCCUUCAUCCACCAGCGCUCUCAAAUUGCCUUGCUGACUGAGUUUUCGCAGCCCCUCUUUCCUAGGGGCGUCUUUUUGACAGAGGCAGCUCAAACCUCAGUGCUUUUCCCAGCCCUUACAGCUGGGUUUCUGGAUGCCCUUCACCGUCAGGCUCUCAACUUCUGCCCUGUCCACAUCUCUGCCCUAAAUCCAGAGCAUUGUCUUUUGGAUCCAGACUUUUGGCUUCAUUUUAGGCCUCUUGGGUUCUAACUCAUUUUGGGGGGCAUAUUUAUCUAGAGAGAAAUGCUAGGAAUGGACUCUUCUCCCCACCUCCCCCACCCCCAAAGUUUGACAAAGUCUGGAACUUUUUUCUUGCUGCAGUCAGCAGAACUCUGUGGAUGUUCUGGAUAUACCUCCCUCCAUCCCACCCCUGCCAGUCCCAUAGGACACAGUGAUGUAGCUAUCACUGUGGAGCCAGUGCCCCAGCAGGGAGGGACUUGGGGGUGUGUAUUGUACCCUGAGUGACAGUCCAUCAGUCUCUGCCUCCCCUGCAUCUCCCCCUUAUUUUGCUUUUCUCUAGGAGUACCAUGCCCUGUUCAGUUGCCCUGCCUGAGCUGCUUAGCCCCGUCCAGGACCACAACCCUGCUGUCAUCCCUCACGCAGGGCUGUGGCUUUACUACUCUUUAGCCUUUCCUGAGCCAGGUCCUUUCUGUGAUACUGGGGCCAUUUUUUGCAUCUAGGCUUCAGUGGUCAGAGGCCUAGCCACACACAGGUCUCCUAGUUAUUGACUAGCAAGUUACCCCUGAACUCUGCCUGCUGCUCUUUGGACUAACUGGAUAUCAUGCUGGUCUGUCCAGCUGCCCUUCUGGAACAAGGCCCUUAGCUCAGGAAGGCUCUGUCUUGGAUUUCAUGCUAGUUCUCCAACUGCUUCUGCCUCCAAAAAAGCUUUUAAUACGCAUUGUAAAGCUCUAAGAAGGAGAUAGCGAAGAUAACAUCUUCCAGACUUGUUUAACUAGAGAGCCGUUUUUUUAAAUGGAGUAAUACGUAUUAAAAUCUCAAAGAAUCACACAGUAUGAUGUUUGGUGGAACAUAGUUUUGGAAAAGUGAGCAGCUUUAUCCCAAAGGAAUAGUCAUCAAAUGGAGGAGUAUAGGCGAAGGUGAUGUGGCAAGUCAGUGAAAGAAAUUCUUUUGGGGCAGGGAAUCUCUCCUGGUGCUUUUCAUUCAACAAAUUCCCACUAAGCGCCUACUAUUUACUAGUCCCUCAACUGGAAAUAACCCUGGUGGUGCAGUGGUUAAGCAUUUGGUUGCUAACUGAAAGGUUGGCAGUUUGAAUCCACUAUCCACUCCUUGGAAACCCUAUGGGGCAGCUCUUCUCUGUCCUGUAGGGUCACUGUGACUCGGAAUUGACUCGAUUAGCAGUGUUUUUUUCUACUGGAAAUGAGGAACCCUGGUGGUGCAGUGCUUAAGUGCUCAGCUGCUGACAGAAAGGUUAGAAGUUUGAACCCACUAGCCCACUAGCUGCUCAGUAGGAGAAGGAUGGGGCAGUCUGCUUCGGUAAAGAUUUUUAGUCUCGGAAACCCUAAAGGGCAGUUCUGCUCUGUCCAUUGGGGUUGCUGUGAGUCGGAAUCAACUCCACAGCAAUGGGUUACAGGCUGCUGGAGUCAUACCAUGUGUUUGGUCACUUACUGUGUUUCUGUAUAAGGCCAGCUAUGAUUUCCAGUUGAUCCCUAAGGUGGGGAGGAGAUAGGGAUUCUGCAUUCUGUCUCCCACAUUUGGAUCUUCUUCUUCCCCUUUCCUUCAGUUGAAACAGGAAUUGGUAAAUGGGGCGAUGUCAUCAUGGCCACAGGCAUCAUCAGCUCCUGGAUCCAAGGAAUGUGGGCUUGCUUCUCUGACGCUCUUUUCUCCAGGUUUGACCCCUGCCAGAACUUCUCUCAAGCCCUCCUGAGCACCCCUUUUUUCCCUCUCCUGGGCUGUCCAUAUCAACAUCAGUCUCAAGUCUCACUGUUAAUUCAGGAUUUAGACUCAUGGGGAUUGGUGUCAAAUGGGAUGGAGUUCAUUUUUAUGAAAUAGGUGUGACAUUAUUGUAAAUCUUCUAUUUUCCGUAUUAAAUCCCUCCUCUUUUAUAGUUCAUGGGCCAGUCUAGACAAUAAUAAUUUUUUUUCAACCCUUGAAUUAAGCUCAUGCUCUGUGAGCAGGGCAGUCUUACAGAUGGAGAGCCAUUUAAAUCUGGCAGGGUGGAUGACCAAGUGCCAGGAGUUCCAGCUGGCAUUGCUGCUAAUGGGAGAGGAAGCCAAUCACUUUUUUUGUAUGGCAUUCCCAACCAGGACCACCAGGAAAUCUCUGACUAAGACUCUUGAUUAAGAAAUUACUAGUUCCCUUUCAGACCCCAAUGUUGGCUGGUCAUAACCCAGAUAGUUGACUGGGCCAAUGAGAAAACAAACUAGAAGGGAAAGGCUCAGCUUGACCCUGCCCUUAGGUAUGGUGUUCUUUUAACAUCCAGCAAGCAGCACUCUCCACCCACAAGCCUCAUCCUGGGGGCCUAGGCCCUUGGCACAUCCGUAUCUGCCACUUGCUCUGAAAGAUGUGGUUCUCAUUGUGAAGAUUAGGGAGUGAGCUCAUGACAGGAAGGUGGAAAGAAGGCUUGAAAUGGCCAUUUAGAGAUCUUAAAUUGAGUCAGUUAUUUGGUCAGUAUGUAGGUAUUUACUAAGUGUCAGUUAGUCUAUAAUCCUGGAAGGCUUGUUUUUCCGUGACGAGUUUGUGAAUCAGCUCGACAGCAGUGGGUUAAUUGGUUAGUCUUUCCAUAACAAGCUCUUUAAAUGAAGCCAUUCCUUAAGAUUCUGUCCUUGACCCCCUUCUCUUCUCCCUCUAUAUACUAUCUCUGGAUGAUCUCAUACAUGCUUGUGGUUUCAGCUACUAUUGAUACGCCUCAAACGCCCAAAUCCUUGUCUCCAACCUAAAUCUCUCUUCUGUGUUCCUUACUCACAUAGCCAAACAUUGCUGACAUUGUAACCUGGAGGGCUCUCAGGAAUCUUAAACUUAGCGUGUCCCAAGCCAAAUUAUUCUUCGUUAACCCAUCUUCUUCCCUCUAUCCUAUACCACCUCCUCCAUCUCUGUUGUUCCUUGAUUUCGGAGGAUCACCAUCCAGAGUCAUUUGUGAAAUUGUGUCAUGGAUUGAAUUGUGUCCCCCCAAAAUAUCUGUUAACUUAGCUGGGCCAUGAGUCCCAGUGUUCUGUGAUUGUCCACCAUUUUAUGUGAUUUCCCUGUGUGUUAUAAAUCCUAUCACUAUGAUGAAAUGAGAUGGAUUAGUGGCAGUUAUAUUGAUGAGAUAUAUUAGAUAGGGUGUAUCUGUAUUGUCUUAAGUCAGUCUCUUCGAGAUAUAAAAGAAGUGAGCAGAGAGACGGGUAUCUCAUGUGGCAUCGGAAGCAGAGCGCAUGCUUUGACCCGAGGUUCCUGUGCUGGGAUGCUCCCAGACCAAGGGAAGACUGAUGCAUCGUAAGGACCUUCCACCAGAGCCAACAGAGAAGAGAGCCUUUCGCUGGAAAUGGUGCCCUGAAUUCGGACUUCUGGCCUACUGUACUGUGAGAGAAUAAACUUCUCUUUGGUAAAGCCAUCCACUUGUGGUAUUUCUGUUAUAGUGCACUAGAUGACUAAGACAACUUGCUUCUGCAUCAUUAUCUUCCACUGGUCCUCUGCUAGGAAUUUAAUAGGCUCUGGGUGUUUGUUGGGUGUAAUCUGGAGCCCUGGUGGCCCAGCUGCUAACCAAUAGUUUGGCAGUUUGAAUCUACGGGUCGCUCCUUGGAAAUAGUUCUACUUUGUCCUACAGGGUCUCUAGGAGUUGGGAUCGACUCAACAGCAACAGGUUUGGUUUUUUUGGGUGUAGCAUAAAAUGUUUAGGAUGGUUCCCCGGCACACCCCCCACCUUUUUUUAGGAUUUGGUUCUUGUCUGUAAGAAAUUUAUAGUUGAAUUUGACAAAGAACAGAAAAAAAAUUGAGAAAAAGGUUAAACUGAGGUUCUAAUUAAAAGUAAAGUGGAAGUUCUGGAAAAGAAGAAUCUGAGGUUAAAACCCUGAGAGAAAACUUCAUUGAGAGGUGAGAAUUGACAGAGUCCAUUCCUGGCUGAGGGUGGGGCAAGAAGACCCAUUUAGGAGAGAGUGAAGAAGGAAUGGGCUUAGGGUCCUUAGCUUGUUUCUUGUGCAAGCAGAGUAAUUGGCACCUCCCCUGCUGACUGCUUCUGUAGUCUCCUCGCAACCUUACGCAGUAUGGUACCUUUUAAAAGGUUCUAAGGUUGAACAUUUUAGUGUAACCCGUGAGUUAGCUGGAAUCAGCCUUCUGCUUAACAUUUUGGCUCAGACUGGCAUUCUACAACUUGUAGAAAGUCCAAUUCCUUCCUCCAAGUUUCUGCAAAUUUCUCCUCAUGUAUUUAUGGUCACUCUGAUCUUGAAAAAAAAAAAUGCUUUUUUCACCACUGAUCUUGAGCUCUUACUUUCCACUAAAUUAGUUCAGAUUGUGGACUGUCUUACUGUCUCAAGCAUGUGUUGGUGUUUCCAUCCACACUGACCCAGAUGUAGAACUCACAUAUCUCCCAGCCAAAGCCUUUAUGUGUAUUGUUGUUAGGUUCCGUCAAGUCAGUUCCAUACAUAAACCAAAAAAACCAAACCCAGUGCCGUCGAGUCAAUUCUGACUCAUAACGACCCUAUAGAACAGAGUAGAACUGUCCUAUAGAGUUUCCAGGGAGCGCCUGGCGGAUUUGAACUGCUGACCCUUUGGUUAGCAGCUAUAGCUCUUAACCACACGCCACCAGGGUUUCCAGCUCCAUGCAUAGUGACCCUAUAUACAACAGAACAAAAUGCUUUCUGGUCCUGUGCCAUCCUCACAAUCACUGCUAUGUUUGAGCCCAUUGUUGCAGCCAUUGUGUCAGUCUAUCUCGUUGAGGAUCUUUUUCUAAGACCCCCUACUUUACCAAGCAUGGUGUCCUUCUCCAGGGACUGGGCCCACUUGAUAACAUGUCCAAAGUAAGUGAGACAAAAUCUCGCCAUCUUUGCUUCUAAGGAGCAUUCUGGCUGUACUUCUUCUAAGACAGAUUUGUUUGUUCUUCUGGCAUCCCAGGAUAUAUUCAAUAUUCUUUGCCAACACCAUAAUUCAAAUGCAUCACUACUUCGUUGGUCUUCUUUAUUCAUAGUCCAGCUUUCACAUGUGAAUGAGGUGAUCGAAAAUACCAUAGCUUUAAUCAGGCACACCUUAGUCCUCAAAGUGACAUCUUUGCUUUUUAACACUUGAAAGAGGUCUUCUGCAGCAGAUUUUCCCAGUGCAAUAUGUCGUUUGAUUUCUUGACUGCUGCUUCCGUGGGCGUUGAUUGUGGAUACAAGUAAAAUGAAUUCCUUGACAAUUUUUCGCUAUUCUCUCCAUUUAUCGUGAUGUUGCUUAUUGGCCCAGUUGUGAGGAUUUUUGUUUUCUUAAUGUUGAGGUGUAACCCAUUCUGAAGGCUGUAGUCUUUGAUCUUUACCGGUCAGUGCUUCAGGUCCUCUUCAUUGUCAGCAAGCAAGGUUGUUAUCUGCGUAUCACAGAUUGUUUAUGAGUCUUCCUUCAGUCCUGGUGCCAUGUUCUUCAUAUAGUCCACCUUCUCAGAUUAUUUGCUCAGAAUACAGAUUGUAUAAGUAUGGUGAAAGGAUACUACCCUGAUGCACACCUUUCUGAUUGUAAACCAUACAGUAUAUCCUUGUUUUGUUUGAAUGACUGCCAGAUGCAAACAUCCAUUAGUAAUUAGAACGUGGAAUGUAUGAAUCGAGGAAAAUUGGAAGUUGUCAAAAAUGAAGUGAAACACAAAACAAGACAGUGCAAAAUAAUGCCAAACGCUAUUUCCACUUUAUGCCUUUUUUUCGUAAAAGUGAAAAUCCUUUCUGUUGGUUAGCGAAAACAGGUACUAAUGUAGGUCCUUCAUAAAAGUGAAGUGGUGUAAAGCCAGCUUUUGAAAAGCAAGUUACCUGUAAUACAUGGUUUAUGUGUGUAGUGGACUUUACUAAAGGCUUGGAAUAAUGGAGAGGGUUUUACAUUGCAAUAUAGCAAGCACUUGAAUGCUAACACUGGUUGUCCCUGCUCCUUGAAGUCCUUUUGCCCACCAUUCUAUUUAGGGAUUCAUCAAUAUUCAUACUACCCAUGAUUUUUUUUUUUUUAUGUAUAUGGCCUUGGUCUCUUAGAAUCUUAUCCUUGUCAUCUCUGCAAACCCUCCUUACCAUAUGUACACAAAAAACUCCAAUUGCCUCUUACUCUGGUAUUCAAAGCAAUUUAACUUUCUCUAACUGUUCUUCCCAAACUGAACUCCAGGUUCACUUCUGUGUGUGCAAAGCCUGCUGAGGGACUCAGUGGAUAAAAAGUUCUAUCCUCGACCAUCUAAGAUGCAACUAUUGGUCUCUACUCAUCUGAAACAAAAGAGAAUGAAGCAAGAUCCAAAGAAGAAAGUAAUCCAUAGGACUAAUAGCCCAUAUGAACCACAGCCUCAUCUAGCAUGAGACCAGAAGAACUAGAUAAUGCUCAGCUACCACUACUGACCCGUUCUGGCCAGGGACACAUUGGAAAGUCCUGGACAGAAAAGGAGAAAUAUGUAGAACAAAACUCAGAUUCCUAAAAAAGGCCAGACUUACUGGACCUGUAGAGACUAGAGGAGUUCCCCAAAACUAUAGCCUUAAGAUACUCUUUGAAUUUGGAACUGAAACCACUCCCGGUGGUCACCUUUCAUCCAAACAAUAGAUUGGCUUAUAAAAUAAAUCCAUGAGUGCUGUGCUCCCUUAAGUAAUCAACUGUAUGAGACCAAAAGGUCAACAUUUACUCUAAAACAAAGAUGAGAAGCUAAGGAGAGACAGGGAAGCUAGAUUAAUGGAAACAGAACAAACAGAACAGAAAUAAUGAGAAUGUUGAUACGUAAAAAAUGUAACCAAUGUCUUGGAACAAGUUGUAUGAAAAUUGUUAAAUGGGAACCUAAUUUGCUAUAUAAACUUCUACCUAAAACAAUAUUUUAAAAAAUGACCAGAGAUAAAGCUUUAUCCUGUUCCCUAGCCACACAAAGGAUCUGUAGACCCUUCUGAAUCAUUCUUUUAGAAUUAUCUUCCCUCUUUUGAAGGCAUUUUUUGUCUUAAAUAGCAUUUACCUCUUCUCCCUGUCCCAUUAAUGGUUUUGCUUUGAAGGAUCUGUGGAGGGAAAAAGUAGGAGGAUAUUCCAUCCAAGGGCAACAAUUUGAAUAUAGGCAACAACAUACAUAAAACCUAUUGUGGAGAACGAAAAAUCUGGCCAAUUUGGAAAGCAGAGUUAUCUUUGGAGAGCAAAGCCCAGGAUAGAAAGUCCAGAAACAGAACUAGGUUUCAAUGGGAAUGGAUAGCAUUAGGACAGAUAAUGGGGCAACUGGCUAACCAUUAAAAAAAAAAAAAAAAAGAUCUGUUCC